ensembl:lncRNA
CAACUGAAUACUGUUGACACGUUUUCUUUAUAUUUGACAUUUUGAAAUACAAAUUUAACAGGUAUAUUAUUAAUUGCAAAAACUGCAAUUACUUUUGCACCAACCUAAUAGUACCUGUGCGUAGAAUUAUCUUAGUGGAGCAGCUCAAAUGUGGAUCAAAGCAGUUGAGCUACUUUGGUGACUCAUAUACCACCAGUGCCACUGUUGUAAAUGUGUGAUUUUCCUAAAUGAUGAAUAACUUCUGAAGUUCUGAGCAAAACAAAGUAUACCUUUCCCUUGAUUUACACAGCAGUCGCUUUUCCUGGAGAAUUCAUUUACAUUAGCCCCAUGCCAAAAAUACCUAUAUUUAUAAGUAAAAUGAAAUCAGAUUCUGGUCAGUUUUAUGUAUAGGUAUAGGGAUUGGCAUGUGGGCGUGGGAAGUGAGACAGUUGUCUUAUCGAGUAUGCAAUAUCCAAGCCCCUGCUCACUAAAUGCCAUAGUGCCCCCCACCCCCGCUUAUGUGAUAACCCAAAUUGCCCCCACAAAUUUCCAGCAUGUCCUCUGGCGAACCAUUGGCCUGUAGCAAUGGACUUAUAAGCUACAAUUAGGAUCAACAUAAAUUUCUUCACUUAAGAAAAUAACUGCAGAAAACAAUAUGGAGAGAAUGAUUAAAUGAUUAAGCUCUAAAAAGGCUAAGAAGAGAUCAGAGACUCUUGUGGACAGUAAAUGAAGUAUUAGUAGAUAAUUUUGAGAGACCUAAUGUCUUCAUUCUGAUUGGAAGAAGUACAAUAACUGGAUCAGAGCUGUCUAAUAGAAAUACAAUGUGAACACAUAUGUAAUAUUAAUAUUCUAUAAGCAAAUUAAAAAAUAAGAAAUAGGCAGACUGACUUGAAUAUAUUUUAUUUAAAACAACAUACAGAAAAUAUCAUUCUUUAGAGAUGUAAUCAAUAUAGAAAGUGUAUUAAUCAGAUCCUUUUUUUUUUUCUUCUUCACUAAGUCUUUCAAAAUCUGGGAGUAUUUUGCACUUACAGUAUAGCUCACAUAGCCAAUGCGCAAGGGUUCUGUCUUGCACCUGGGCACGUCUUAUUUGGUUAUCACAGCACUUAAAAACUGAAUUCUGUGCUCUCUGGGAUGCUGCUGAGGGUGAGAUGAGAAGUCCCAACUGAAACUGUCUUAAACAAGGAAAACAUUUGUUCUCAUACAUAAAUUAAAGUUAGGGUACGCUCUAGGACUGGUUGGUUCAGUGAUUCGUGGCAUCGUCAAGGACGCAAGUGCCUUCCGUGUUUCCCUCCUGAUUUUCUCAAUGUGGGGCCUGCUCCUCUCAGGGUUGUAAGGUGGUGGCCAGUGGCAAGAUGGCGGCUCAUGCGUCCUGGUUUGUGUCCAAUAGGAGGGAUGAAGACAUCUUUCCCUAAAAUAUGAACUAUCCAUUCUUUCAGUCAUAUUGGGCGAAAAUGCCAUGUCUUGACUGACUUACGCAAAUCAUCUGGGUCAGAAUAUUGCAUCCUUUCUCAUGAUUGAUGCAAGAAUGGCUUUGGCUGGGCAUUUUCUCUUCAUUUACUCAUCCUGAGGCGCACUAUUUCUUGUUGUCUUAUACUUGCUUUCUUUACCCAGUUACUCUACCUUUCUGUCCCUGGAAGUGUUUGAGUUUGUGGCUGCCUCUUACACACAGGCUCCAGUCAUUGUUGACAGAGCCACACAUGCAACAUUGCAUUUAAUUUUGAUGUGAGAGGAUAUAAGAGAAUGAGAGGAGGUUUAAAGGAGACAGCUAAAGUGAAAAGGGAAUUGACGUCAUGUUGUAUGAGGAAUGUUGAAGGGAAUGGCCCUGUAAACCUAUGAGAAGUGGAGGGCUUGUGGGUGGGAUAGAAUAUCCUCAUCUUAGCGAUGAGGGUAUGUCUACUUGUAGCAGUUCUAUGCUCCCAUCAAAUUAACUGCUUCAGCCGGGCGUGGUGGCUCAUGCCUGUAAUCCCAGCGCUUUGGGAGGCCCAGGCAGGCAAAUCAUUUGAGGUCAGGAGUUCGAGACCAGUCUGGCCAACAUGGUGAAACCCCUCUCUACUAAAAAUACCAAAAUUAGCUGGGAGUGGUGGCGAGCGCCUGUAACUCCAGUUACUCAGGAGGCUGAAGCAGGAGAAUUGCUGAACUUGGGAGGUGGAGGUUGCAGUCAGCUGACAUGGCACCACUUCACUCCAGCCUGGGUGACAGAGCAAGACUCUGUCUAAAAAAAAAAAAAA